GGCAAUCUGUUAGGGUUUGUGUCUGUCGUGUGGAAGCUUUGUUCAUUCGUCUUUUGCAAUAAAUCUUGCUACUGCUCAGUCUUUGGGUCCACACUGCUUUUAUGAGCUGUAGCAGUCACCACGAAGGUCUGCAGCUGCACUCCUGAGGCUAGCGAGACCACGAACCCACCGGGAGGAGCGAACGACUCCAGACGCGCUGACUUAAGAGCUGUAACAGCUUACCGCUAAGGUCUGCAGCUUCACUCCUGAGCCAGAGAGACCAGGAACCCACCUAGAAGGAACAAACUCCGGACAUGCCGCCUUUAAGAGCUGUAACACUCACCGCCAGGGUCCGCAGCUGCAUUCUUGAAGUCAGUGAGACCAAGAACCCACCAAUUCCAGACACACUGUCAUCAAAAAGUGGGAUAUCUUUUUAAACAGAGAUAACAUUGCAGAAUCUUGGAGUUGGAAAUAGACCUCAGCUGGGGUUUAGUCCUGUUUUCUCCUCAGAGCAGAAGUCCUGGGAUGCCGUUCUGGACUGAUUGUCAGUUUUUUCUCCUGUCCUUGAGCUAUUCUAAUGCCAGACAUCUGUGGCUUUACACAGCCAGGCUUUCAGUUAGAGAACUUGGUUAGCUCAGGUCAACAAAUGCUGCUCUGAGAACACUGACUCCCAUGUGGGGAGACUCUGCACCUGGAGCUCCGGGAGAGCCGGCUCAGGCCUCUUCCUGCUAUCCAGGGAACUGCAGUGGCGUUGGAGGGCCUUGCUGGGGCUGGGGCUGGGGAGAAGGGAUUCCAACCCUACUGAUAAUUCGUUUGGAAACACCGGGCUGUGGAUUUCAGAAGUUCUUGGGCAGCCUGAUUACCACUGGCAGUGAGCCGGGGACGAAGCCGAAGCUAUGAGUGACAGACGGAAAGAACUGGGGGCUUUGGUGAACCAGAGAACACUUAGCUCCUCCAGCCCUGAAGCAGGCGUCACCGCAGGGCUUAUGGUCCUAAGAGCCACUUAGUUUCCUUAUUCAUUAAACUAGUUUAAUUUGGGUUUUCUGCAUCCUGGAGGACACCAAGUCGGUGUGCGGAGGGACCCUGUAGACACGUGUGCAAAGAAUAAGCCGACGAUCAUGGAAUUUCUGAUGACGCCACUGACACGUGGGAUGGAGGCCUCCUUCCCAGGGCACCCCUACACUCAUGACAAUGAAUCCUGGCUCUUAUUCACCCCUUUGGAUUUCACAAGCAAGUAAUCGAUCUCUCUGCCUGCUGCCAUCCGAG
rnacentral:lncRNA from 1 species